GCCGGGGUGGCGGAAUUGGUAGACGCACAGGACUUAAAAUCCUGUGGGUGGUCACACCCGUGCCGGUUCGACUCCGGCCCUCGGUACUA
rnacentral:tRNA from 1 species